rfam:Salmo salar isolate Sally breed double haploid chromosome ssa13, whole genome shotgun sequence.
GAAUGUACUUACUGUAAAUUGCUCUGGAUAAGAGCAUCUGCUAAAUGCCCAAAA